rnacentral:lncRNA from 1 species
UUCACUGUGUAUUUUUAUAACAGGCGCCUCCUUGACCGUCCAUGAUAUUGCAGAUAUGCAGUGCCAAAAGCUUAUGUAUACUUCAUCAAACUGACCAUGUCACCUUGGAAUCUCCAAACAGUUGCAUAUGUGAAGGCAGUAUGGAACAGAGCAAACAACAGUGGGCCAGCGAGCUUCAAAAUUUUCAGUUCUAGGCUGUAUUUCCCAGUGGCUGUGUACUACCCACCAAAUCACAGGAAUCUCCCAGAAUAUUCACAACCCAGAAAAGACAGAACAGGAAUUGCUGCCCCAUCAUUGGAUCGAGCAUUGCAGGAAAAUAUAAAGAUGAGUAAAAGUGGAAAACCCCUAUCAAACUGGUACCGAACUGUGGAAUGGCAGAGAAGGAAUGGAAGCCAAGAUUAUUUAAAAAGCCAAACUUGGGUAACAUUAAUAAUGAAAGGAAGGAGAACGUUAAUAAUAAAAGGAAGAAUGAAACAACUACCCAAGAAGUCCAUAUGGCUAUGCUUCCUGUAACCUACAUGCUCACUCUAAUGACACUUACUCCUGCUCACUGGUGAUUCUUACUGGUGUACAAAACCAAAUGGUCACUAUUAUGGGGAUAAGGAAGUGUUUGCUUGUUCUGUGGCUCUGCAGUGUCAAUUUUCAUAAGAUUUUCUAAAAGGACAUAUGAAGACAUACAGUUUUACUCCUCAUCUGUGUAAAUGUUAAAAAUUUGAAGGCU